CUUAGGUGCUGACUGGAACAUAGGUGCUAGGUGAUGUGGUACUAACUGGAACUUAGGUGCUGACUGGAACGUAGAUGCUAGGUGAUGUAGUACUGACUGGAACGUAGGUGCUAGGUGAUGUGGUACUGACUGGAACGUAGGUGCUAGGUGAUGUGGUACUGACUGGAACGUAGGUACUAGGUGAUGUGGUACUGACUGGAACGUAGGUACUGACUGGAACGUAGAUGCUAGGUGAUGUGGUACUGACUGGAACGUAGAUGCUAGGUGAUGUGGUACUGACUGGAACGUAGGUGCUAGGUGAUGUGGUACUGACUGGAACGUAGGUACUAGGUGAUGUGGUACUGACUGGAACGUAGAUGCUAGGUGAUGUGGUACUGACUGGAACGUAGGUACUAGGUGAUGUGGUACUGACUGGAACGUAGAUGCUAGGUGAUGUGGUACUGACUGGAACGUAGGUACUAGGUGAUGUGGUACUGACUGGAACGUAGGUACUAGGUGAUGUGGUACUGACUGGAACGUAGGUACUAGGUGAUGUGGUACUGACUGGAACGUAGGUACUAGGUGAUGUGGUACUGACUGGAACGUAGGUACUAGGUGAUGUGGUACUGACUGGAACGUAGGUACUAGGUGAUGUGGUACUGACUGGAACGUAGGUACUAGGUGAUGUGGUACUGACUGGAACGUAGG